UUUUCUCCUUCUUUUCCGCCUCUCUUUCCCCUUUCUCCUUCUUUCCGCCUCCUCAUCUCCCUCGUCUCUCUCGACCCUACCUCUUUCCUCUUUCCGCCGCUACCCCACUUCCGCGCCUCCUCAUCCCCACACCACGCUCUGUCCCCCACUCACUACACCCCGCUCCUCUUCUUCUUCCAUCUAAAACCCUAAUCACAAUCCUAUAAAAAGGGGGGGAUUUCAGAUUGUUAGGGGAGGGAAAUUUUUGGGAAUGAUAAAAUUCAUUCUUUCCGGUGAACUUUAGCCGGACAUCGCUCUAAAUCAUUAUAUUUUCACAUAAUAAAAAAAAAUUCCUUUUUUUUUAUCGCAAGCAGUGUUGGUUCGUCGUCCUCGAGUAGAUCCGGAACCCCGACGACCUCAGUUUACUGCACAAAAACGAGACUUGUCUUCUUCCGCACUUGGCGUUGGGCUAAAAGCCCAACAUGACUCUCCUCUUCAAGUCAGCCAACCUACAACCAAACAAGGAAAUAAAAUUUGGGCCAAAGCCCAAUUAGUGUGAACAGCUACAGUAGCGGACAACAGCAUUCUUUAAUGGGCUGAGCCCAUUUGCAUCAUUCCUAUUCCUCUAAUCUUUUUUUAUUAUGUGCGUUUAACGUGUAUUGUAUGAUUAACAUUGUGUUUGCUAAUUUAGAUAAACUUUAAUAACAUUAAGGAUCUUAGUUUAGUUAUGGGUAGUUAAUUUCACAAAUUACAUUCACUUCUAUUUUUUUUAAAAAAACUAUUUAUAAUAUCUAUAACAUUUAUUUGA